rnacentral:rRNA from 1 species
AGGGAAUCUUCCACAAUGGACGCAAGUCUGAUGGAGCAACGCCGCGUGAGUGAAGAAGGUUUUCGGACCGUAAAGCUCUGUUGUUGGUGAAGAAGGAUAGAGGUAGUAACUGGCCUUUAUUUGACGGUAAUCAACCAGAAAGUCACGGCUAACUACGUGCCAGCAGCCGCGGUAAUACGUAGGUGGCAAGCGUUGUCCGGAUUUAUUGGGCGUAAAGCGAGCGCAGGCGGAAGAAUAAGUCUGAUGUGAAAGCCCUCGGCUUAACCGAGGAAUUGCAUCGGAAACUGUUUUCUUGAGUGCAGAAGAGGAGAGUAGAACUCCAUGUGUAGCGGUGGAAUGCGUAGAUAUAUGGAAGAAUACCAGUGGCGAAGGCGGCUCUCUGGUCUGCAACUGACGCUGAGGCUCGAAAGCAUGGGUAGCGAACAGGAUUAGAUACCCUGGUAGUCCAUGCCGUA